rnacentral:rRNA from 1 species
UACGUAGGGGGCUAGCGUUGUCCGGAAUCAUUGGGCGUAAAGAGCGUGUAGGCGGUCCGGUAAGUCCGUUGUGAAAGUCAAGGGCUCAACCCUUGAAUGCCGGCGGAUACUGUCGGGCUAGAGUCCGGAAGAGGCGAGUGGAAUUCCCGGUGUAGCGGUGAAAUGCGCAGAUAUCAGGAGGAACACCAAUGGCGAAGGCAGCACUCUGGGACGUGACUGACGCUGAGACGCGAAAGCGUGGGGAGCAAACAGG